CGGCUUCUGUGAGCCAGACGGACGUGCGCGCGCAUUGAGGGUUGUGGCGAGCGGAGGCCUGCGUGCUGCUUUUCGACCACCCCAGACUCACUUCCCUCUUCUGUCCCAGCACCCCGGACUUCUCCGGGGUUCACGGAUAGCAAAAACUGGUCUCCUGAAACAUCUAGGACAAAAAGGACAGUCCUGCAGACAGACCGUGUUUGGAUCAAGUGAGCCAGUUCUUUGAACCUGAACACUGCUGAGUCAAGGCACACCGCAGAUUGGU
rnacentral:lncRNA from 1 species